rnacentral:tRNA from 1 species
AAUUUUGGUGGCUGAAUUUAUAGGCGAUAGAUUGUAAAUCUACUUAUGACUAAAGAGUCCCUUGUAUUA